UACUGCCAAGAGUGCGAUCCGGCGAUAACUGUAUACAAUAAUAAGUAUGCACAAUAAAAAUAAUUUCGAGUGAAUCUCGAGCGCGUAUCAAUAAUAAUACCUUUAAUUGAUGUUAUAAAUUGCUCAUAUUAUGUAUAAUGUUGCAGAUUACCGACGGACGACAGAACUAUACGAUAUGAGAAAUCGGAAACUUGAACCAUCAUACACUCAGUGCAGUCUUCGCAGAAACAUAAAAUAUAAAAACGGACACAAUAGCACUACAAGGGAGCUAAUUUUCUGGGUUCACACAAACCUGUGCUCGUGCAAUUAUCGUAGUCAAGUUUUAAGUCUUAAAAAAUCGUCGAUAGUUGUGAGGCAAUAAGACCGUGGACAUGGAACACAAUACAGUCACAUUUCAGAAAAAUACGCGGCUCGGGAAUAUGACAGCAUUCGUUGCACAUUAAUAGUGCAGUGCGGCUGCUGUAUUUUUGCGGUGCAGCUGAUGACCAAAGAGAGCUAAAUAAUAGUCAUGAAAAGUUUCCGUGUCCCGCUGUCUCGAUGAAUAACGCCGAGAGCAACAUGACCGCAGACAGACUGAUGAUCGAUAUUUAUAAAAAAUAAUCUGCAAGAUAAAAUUUGAGAUGAUGCAGACAACUAUAGUAUAUUUCACGUCUCUCAUAUAUAUACAUAUAUAGGUGGGUGUAUGGGUAUUCUGCAGCUGCAGCUUGGAAGUCAUUGAUCACGUUUCAAUUUAUUUAUUUGCAAAACAUUAUCAUCUCAAAUGUGAAACUUAAAUUUGUCGUCGCCAUUAAAUGCAGCACAAAACAAAACAAAAAACUCGCAAAAAUAGCGAUCGAGUGCUGCAAUUAUAUAUUUUAAGCCAGUUAUAAAGCUGGUAUAUAAUUUAUACG